rnacentral:rRNA from 1 species
GACGAACGCUGGCGGCGUGCUUAACACAUGCAAGUCGAACGGAAAGGCCCUGCUUUUGUGGGGUGCUCGAGUGGCGAACGGGUGAGUAACACGUGAGUAACCUGCCCUUGACUUUGUGAUAACUUCAGGAAACUGGGGCUAAUACCGGAUAGGAUCUCCUGCUGCAUGGUGUGGUUUGGAAAGUUUCGGCUGUUGGGGAUGGUCUCGCGGCUUAUCAGCUUGUUGGUGGGGUAGUGGCUUACCAAGGCUUUGACGGGUAGCCGGCCUGAGAGGGUGACCGGGCAAAUUGGGACUGAGAUACGGAGCAGACUGCUACGGGAGGCAGCAGUGGGGAAUAUUGCAAAAUGGGCGGAAGCAUGAUGCAGAAAAGCAGCGUGCGGGAUGACGGCCUUGGGGGUGUAAACCGAUUUCGCAUGUGAAGAAGAGUGAGUGACGGUAAUGGGUAAAGAAGCAACGGCUAACUACGUG